rnacentral:rRNA from 1 species
AGUGGCGUACGGGUGAGUAACACGUGGAUCAUCUACCUUUUAGUGAGGAAUAACCAUGGGGAAGCGUGGCUAAUACCGCAUGAGCGAGAGGAAAGUCGCGCUGAAAGAGGAGUCCGCGGCCGAUUAGCUAGUUGGCAGGGUAAAAGCCUACCAAGGCAAAGAUCGGUAGCCGGCCUGAGAGGGCACACGGCCACACUGGCACUGAAACACGGGCCAGACUCCUACGGGAGGCAGCAGUGGGGAAUCUUGCACAAUGGGGGAAACCCUGAUGCAGCGACGCCGCGUGAGCGAUGAAGCCCUUCGGGGUGUAAAGCUCUUUCGUCAGGGACGAUUGACGGUACCUGGAGAAGCAGCUGCGGCUAACUACGUGCCAGCAGCCGCGGUAAUACGUAGGCAGCGAGCGUUGUUCGGAGUUACUGGGCGUAAAGGGUGUGUAGGCGGUUGUUUAAGUUUGGUGUGAAAUCUCCC